ensembl:lncRNA
CUGAAACUGGGAUAGACUACCUGAACUGGGAUAGACUACCUGAAACUGGGAUAGACUACCUGAAACUGGGAUAGACUACCUGAAACUGGGAUAGACUACCUGAACUGGGACAAUAAGAAAUGCUUGUUUUACCAUGCAAAACGUAUUGCUACAGUGUGCCCUAAUGAAUGUCCCAGUAGUAGGCUACUGUAGUACAUCUCCAUAGACACUGUGAUCAAUAGCCUAGUCUUGCACUUAUGUUCAGCUUGGCAUAAACUGACACUGGCUUUUAAUGCUGGAUUCAUUCUGUUAUAUUUUACAAGAUCAUGGUCCUUGUGUGGCUCUGUUGGCAAGAGCGUGGUAGUAGACACACCGAAGUUGUCGGUUCAGUUCCUGCAGAGAUCAUAUACACAUGGUAAAAAAUGUCUGCUCUCAUUGUAAAGACUGGAGAAGAGGUGUCUGAUCUCACUGUAAAGACUGGAGAAGAAGUGUCUGAUCUCACUGUAAAGACUGGAGAAGAAGUGUCUGCUCUCACUGUAAAGACUGGAGAAGAAGUGUCUGAUCUCAUUGUAAAGACUGGAGAAGAAGUGUCUGCUCUCACUGUAAAGACUGGAGAAGAGGUGUCUGAUCUCACUGUAAAGACUGGAGAAGAAGUGUCUGGUCUCACUGUAAAGACUGGAGAAGAAGUGUCUGAUCUCACUGUAAAGACUGGAGAAGAGGUGUCUGCUCUCACUGUAAAGACUGGAGAAGAAGUGUCUGCUCUCACUGUAAAGACUGGAGAAGAGGUGUCUGCUCUCACUGUAAAGACUGGAGAAGAGGUGUCUGCUCUCACUGUAAAGACUGGAGAAGAAGUGUCUGAUCUCACUGUAAAGACUGGAGAAGAAGUGUCUGAUCUCAUUGUAAAGACUGGAGAAGAGGUGCUAUGUUAUGAUUAAAGACCAGCCAUCUUGUAAUCUCAGGCUUUUUAGGUCAAAUCACUGCAGUCCUCUUCAGUGGUGGAAAAAGUACUACAUUGUUAUACUCGAGGAAAAGUAAAGAUACCUUAAUAGAAAAUGACUCAAGUAAAAGUCACCCAGUAAAAUACUACAUUAGACUAAAGUCUAAAAGUAUUUGGUUUUAAAUAUACUUAAGUAUCAAAAGUAAAUGGAAAAGUGUUAACCAUUUCAAAUUCCUUAUAUUAAGCAAACCAGACAACACAAAACAUUUUUGGGGGGGAUGGAUAGCCAGGGGCCCACUCCGACACUCAGACAUCAUUUACAGAUAGCCAGGGGAACACUCCAACACUCAGACAUCAUUUACAAACGAAGCAUUUGUGUUUAGUGAGUCCGCCAGAUCAGAGGCAGUAAAGAGCAUCAGGGAUGUUCUCUGUUUAGUGAGUCCUCCAGAUCAGAGGCAGUAGGGAUGACCAGGGAUGUUCUCUGUUUAGUGAGUCCUCCAGAUCAGAGGCAGUAAAGAGCACCAGGGAUGUUCUCUGUUUAGUGAGUCCUCCAGAUCAGAGGCAGUAGGGAUGACCAGGGAUGUUCUCUGUUUAGUGAGUCCUCCAGAUCAGAGGCAGUAAAGAGCACCAGGGAUGUUCUCUGUUUAGUGAGUCCUCCAGAUCAGAGGCAGUAGGGAUGACCAGGGAUGUUCUCUGUUUAGUGAGUCCUCCAGAUCAGGGGCAGUAAAGAGCACCAGGGAUGUUCUCUUGACAAGUGUGAAUCGGACCAUUUUCCUGUCCUGCUAGUACUUUUGAGUGUCAGUGGAAAAUGUACAUUAUUUUCAUUUGCAAUGUCGUGAAGUAAAAAUUGCCAGAAAUAUAAAUCGUAAAGUAAAAAAUACAGAUACUACCAAAAAGUACUUUAAAGUAUUUUUUUCUACUGAAGUACUUUCCACCACUGGUCCUCUUGCAUAGACAGAAACAGACCCUCGGCUUUUGUAACGGAGACAAGAGAGAAGCUCACUCCACAGCUAGCUUAAAAACGGCACCAACGCUGCUAUCGAAUCGAAUCCUUGGCUAUAGGACUACCGGUUGGUACGUACCUCUGGUCCGAGAAAAGAGACGGUGGACAGUGGAAGAAGCGAAGCUGGUAGCGACCCACUGGUGUCAGUUUCACUGUGGAACAAUAAACACUUCUACGUACUGUAUGUUUACUCUGUUGUAGCGCAGAAAGGUUAAUGAAUUCAAUCUAUUGUUAAUGACAUUGCACUCGUGUAGUGUACAUUUUCUGUAUAAUUCUGCUCCGUCACUAUGAGUGAUUAUCACUGUGGCUAGGCAAUCAUUGAUUUCUGAUCGUCUAAUCAAUUUCAAUUCAAAAUCAAAUAAAAAAUGUUUAUUUUAAACUCUCCAGG